rfam:Myotis lucifugus cont2.31021, whole genome shotgun sequence.
AGGCCAGGAUUGAGAGGCAGGGUCUGAUCCACAGCCUCCGUGGCAGCUGUUGAUCAGCCUUCGCCUCUCUUUCUCUUUCUC